CUGCUGCCUCCCGUAGGAGUCUGAUCCGUGUCUCAGUACCAGUGUGGGGGACCUUCCUCUCAGAACCCCUACGCAUCGUCGGUUAGGUGGGCCGUUACCCCGCCUACUGCCUAAUGCGCCGCAUGCCCAUCCCUGUCCGGCCGAAGCCUUUCCUGCCUCCGGGAUGCCCCGGUGGCAUGUACGCGGGUUUAGCCCGCCUUUCGGCGGGUUGUCCCCCUGACAGGGGCAGGUUGCAUACGUGUUACUCACCCGUGCGCCGGUCGCCGGCGGAAG
rnacentral:rRNA from 1 species